rnacentral:rRNA from 1 species
UCCUUAUCCCAUUUGAGGAAGGAGAAGUCGUAACAAGGUUUCCGUAGGUGAACCUGCGGAAGGAUCAUUGUCGAAUUCGAACGGGAGAAUGACCAGCGAACCGUCUUUGCGUAACGAUCCGAGGUCGCGUGCACGAAAGGUGGCGCGUCUUGCAAUGCGUCCGCGUGGGCCUUCUCGAUAGGGCCGUGCCGUGCCGUAAACAAACAACGUCAGCACGGAUCGUGCCAAGUAGCUGCAUUGGCGAGAAUCGUCGUCCUCCCUCCCAAUCUAUGUGGGGCGGGGGACAUGCGCGAUCUCUGCUCUCAGUCUUAAUGACUCUCGGCAACGGAUAUCUCGGCUCUUGCAUCGAUGAAGAACGUAGCGAAAUGCGGUACUUGGUGUGAAUUGCAGAAUCCCGCGAACCAUCAACUCUUUGAACGCAAGUUGCGCCCGAAGCCAUACGGCAGAGGGCACGCCUGCCUGGGUGUCGUGAAUCCCCUUGCCGCCGGCACCUGCACGAGCAUCGUCGCGGAUAUGUCCGGGCGCAGACUAUGGUCUCCCGUCGGGUGGGCGUGCGUGCCACGUUGUCUGGCGGUUGGCCGAAAAUCGAGCAUUGCGACGUCCGGCUCCACGGCAUUCGGUGGAUCAAACGCGAUUGGCUGCGCCGUGGUCCCGUCUUGCCGCCGGCUCCGGACUUUUUAUCGAUUCCCCAGUGCGAUCCCAGGUCAGGUGGGGCUACCCGCUGAGUUUAAGCAUAUCAAUAAGCGGAGGAAAAGAAACUAACGAGGAUUCCCUUAGUAGCGGCGAGCGAACCGGGACGAGCCCAGCGUGAAAAUCGUCCCCCUUCGGGCGCCGAAUUGUAGUCUGGAGAAGCGUCCUCAGUGACGGACCGUGCCCAAGUUCACUGGAAGGUGGCGCCGGAGAGGGUGAGAGCCCCGUCGUGCCUGGACCCUGUCGCACCAC